rnacentral:rRNA from 1 species
UACGUAGGGACCAAGCGUUGUUCGGAUUUGACUGGGCGUAAAGGGCGCGUAGGCGGCGUGUCAAGUCAAUUGUGAAAUCUCUGAGCUUAACUCAGAACGGCCAAUUGAUACUGAUGUGCUAGAGUGCAGAAAGGGCAAUCGGAAUUCUUGGAUGUAGCGGUGAAAUGCGGUAGACUAUCAAAGAGGGAACACCUGAGGCGAAGGCGGGUUGCUAGGCUGACACAUGACGCUGGAGGCGACGGAAAGCUAGGGUAGCAAACGGG